UACAGGGGGUGCGAGCGUUGUUCGGAAUUACUGGGCGUAAAGGGCGCGUAGGCGGCUUGGCAAGUCAGAUGUGAAAGCCCGGGGCUUAACCCCGGAAGUGCAUUUGAAACUGCCCGGCUAGAGUAUAGUAGAGGUUGGCGGAAUACCCAGUGUAGAGGUGAAAUUCGUAGAUAUUGGGUGGAACACCGGUGGCGAAGGCGGCCUUCUGGACAGUGACUGACGCUGAGACGCGAAAGCGUGGGGAGCAAACAGG
rnacentral:rRNA from 1 species